GAUGAACGCUGGCGGCGUGCCUAACACAUGCAAGUCGAGCGGAAAGACCAUGAGCGUGGUCCACUACCGGUGGCGGGGGGCGGAAGAGUAAGGCGUACAUCACCUACCUCUAAGACUGGGAUGACAACGUGGGACCAGUACCGAUAACGACUCAUAUUCUCAACGGGUUUGUUCAAUAGUUAUUUACGGUUUUGCUGUGCCUAUGAGCUGGCUCCGUGUUGACUUGGUGAGUUGGUAAGGUAACGGCUUACCAAGGCGACGAUGCGUAGCCGACCUGAGAGGAUGAUCGGCCACACGGGAACGGAGACACGGGCCAGACUCCUACGGGAGGCAGCAGUAGGGAAUCUUCGGCAAUGGGCGAAAGCCUGAAGGAGCAAAGCCGCGUGAGUGAUGAAGGGCUUCGGAUCGUAAAACACUGUUGUUUGGGAAGAAAAAAAGUGUAUGUAACCAGGCACGUUUUGACGGUACCUAAAGAAAAAGCAACGGCUAACUACGUG
rnacentral:rRNA from 1 species